UUUUAAGAAUACCAUUGUGCAUUGCCUUCUUUGUACGGAGGUUAAUAUAAAUUUGGCUUACAGUCCCUUUAAUCCGUUUUUAAAACUUUGGAAACAGGAGAAACUCUAUAUUUGAUCAGGAUAAGUCGGUUGGGACAGAAGAGAAGAAUGAGACUGAAAAAUUCAGGAGAAAAAAAAUUAAGAAUGAUGCUUCAAAAAUAAAGGACAGUGCUGGAGAAACCCCGGUCCCAAACAAAGACGACUUAUCAUCAGAAGAAUUUGAAACUAAAGCUGCUGCUGGAGACACAGACGAGAUUUUUAUGGAUUUAGUUUUGAAACAAAGAAUUGCAAGACGGAUUGUAAGGAAUUUCCGAGAGAAACGAAGAAGAGAGAAUUUUCUAGAUUUAAUUUUGAAAAAAAGAAUUGCAAGACGAAUAUUAAGG